AUUAUUUAGUGCUAAUUUAAAGUCGAUGACACAAUUCUUUUGAGUGCACUACAGUCCAAUUUGGUAAGUUAAGAGUUGUAUAGCCUUCAACCCUAGGAGAGCCCAUAUAAAUAGAUCUCUUUCUCCUAUUCACAAAGACAAACCAACAAUAUGCUAUUAUGCUCCCUGGGAGGCAGCAUCAAUCAGCAGCCUUGGGUUGGGAGGCACAAAACCAAAUCCCUAGUCCUGAGAAUCCCACCCACCCCACUUCCGUGCUGUGCUCUGACCUUCCUAUUUUUCUUUAGAUUUCAUACCAAGAGCAUUGUUUAAAAUUUUCGUCUAUUUUAUUUUACUUUAAAAAACACCCACUCUUUAAACACACCCCCAUCAGAAUGUCUAAUUUUUCUUCUCACACAGAAAGUUCCUUCCUUUUUGCAUUGAAGGUCAUUCCUUUUCAACAAGAGGCACAAACAGCAGCAACAACAAAGAUCAGUAUCAAAGAAAAAUGAAGAGAAGAAGAAGAAAAAGCAGAGCAGAGACAUCCCAAUAAUAUCUUUCUUACUUUGUUCUCACUCACUCUCUCAUCUUUCUUUUCAAUUUUUAGCUCCUAAUCUAACUCAAAGCUUGUUCCUUUUUCAGCUAUCAACAAAGCACACAGACAAGACCAGGAGUAAAAGCAGAAUAUACACAAAAGAGGGUAAUAUCCAUUCUUUUCUUAAGUGUUUGCUAGAUCUGCCUAAGGUUUAGGUACCUAGGGUAUUUUUAUUUCUACAUGUUCACAAGACACAGAGCACACAAGCUACCAUUUUUACACACAACUCGUGUUCACAAGCAUUACAUAAAACAAACAUACACAUCCAUAGCAAAACCAUCACAUGAACACAGCACACACACAUAACACAUCCAGCCAUAGAAAACCCGAAGCCUCGAAAUCCCAACACAAAAACAUAGCCACACCCAAGCCAAAAACCCAACCUUUUGAACACCCAAAACUCGAAACAAAAAUCCUUUCUUUCUUAACACCCCCAAACCCAAAUCAAAAUCCCUUCUUUUUCCAAAUCAUUAAACCCCAAAAAAUAAAAACCAAAUCCCCAAACCCACAAACAGGCCAUAAAUCAAAGAACAACAGCAGAAAAAUAAAAAGAUUAGAGAGUUAAAGGAAUCGGGAGAGAGAGCCAGGAUAGAAAAGGAGAGAGCCACGGUGUUGGUGGCUUGCGUUGAGCUUUGAAGCUCCGGCCGUGGAGGUCGCGGGUUUGAUUCAGAGAUGGAGAGGAGAGAGAGGGAGAGAGGCUAAAGGCUUAAUCUGAUUUGGGUUUACCGUUUAAGUUUAAGAUAGAAAUAGAAAGAAAAGGCCUAAGAGAAAAGAUAAGAUGGUGAGGUGGUGUUCUGUCAUUGGUCCAUAGAUAUUUCUUUUAAUAGUUUAAGUGAAGUUUGGGUUUGGACCGGAUUGGACCCAUUUAGGCUCAAUCCGAAUUCCUCUAAGCUCCAGCCCACAUUAAAGUUUAGCUUCACCCAGAUCCAAUCUAAAAAAUCACACUCACAAGCCCACCAGCCUUUUGUCAAGCCAAGCCCAAAAAUCAAGCUCCUUUUUAAAUCCAUUCCACCACAAGGGCCCAAUCCGGAUCCACAAGUCAAGCAUGUUUCAAAAAUUAUAAACCAACCCAAACCUUUUUCAAAUUACAUUUUGACUUUUUAACUUUCACAAAAUUAAUUUUUUAACCCUAAAACUUUCCAAAAUUAAACUUUCAACCCCAAAACCUUUCGUAAAAUUAAACUUUUAACCUGAAGCUUUUCCAAAAUACAUUUCAACCCCAAAUCUUUUCUGAAUUGCAAUUUGACCCCAAGUUUUUUUCCAAAUUCAUUGUGAUCUGAAACUUUCCAAAAUUACAAUCUGACCCAAAAUUUUUCCAAAUUAUAUUUCAACCUUGAAACUUUUUGAAAUCACAAAUUGACCUUAAACUUCCAAAAGUUCAUCUUUAACCAUUGUUUUGCCAAAAUAAAAAGAUUUCUUCAAGAUUAAUAAUUUGCCAAUGACGUUGUUUCAGCAUCUCUUAGAAAUCUAAUAUUUAUUUUCUUGUCAUUUCUUUGUGUCUCUUGCAUGAGAUAAGAUACUUUGGGAAAAGGAUUCGCAAAAUUGCAAUUAGUAUGCUAUGCUUUGGAACAAGGUCGUUGGAGGAAAGAAGGGGAAAGAAAAAGUCAAAAGCAAUUGCUUUUUAAAGGAAGAGGUGUAAAUCUGGUUGCAACUAACUAAAAAUUGAAAUUUCAAGUGCAUUAACAAGUGCUUUGUGAAAAUGGCACAGAGAUUCAAUGGCUUGUCCAGACUCAUUUGAGUGAGUUCAGAGCAGAUGCACACCCAGAAAUUUGACCGGGAAAGAAGGAUGCAGUGGCAAUCUGGGUUCAGGACUCCAUGCACUAGUGCUUACCUGGUGUCCCUGACACAUGGAUUGAUAUCUUUUAGGAACUGAUCCGUCAUCACCUGGGGAUAAAGGGAUGAACAUUUAAAAGGAUGCAUCAAUUAAAAAAAAAUGAAAAAACUGCGAGCUUUUCCGUGCACAUCAGUGGACUAAGAUCUAAGGAGUACUAGGGUAAAUGUGCUGCCAGACGCAACCUGAAUAGAGUUUUGAAUGACAUUAGGGCCUUUUGAUGGGAAAAAGACUGCUUCUUGUUUUAUUGUGGCAGGAAGUGACAAGAUCCAGGUGUCCAAUUAUAACAACAAAGUAGUGUUUGAGUUCUUACUUCAUAUUGUCUUGUGAUUUGUCUUCUAAUCUUUUUGCAUUCAUUUUCUUUUGAGGAUGUUUUAUUUUUAUUUCUUGGGGGUGAUAUUGAAGGCUCGAUAUGGACAUUCAAUAUGGUUUUUUUACUUAUUUAAUCACUUUUUAUUUUUAUUUUUA